CUUUUUAGUCUAGGUCCGUGUUUCUAUAACUAGAACUCAGGAAGUUGUCAGUACAAGCCCAGAGAUUGUAAAACGUCCGUCAAACUAUUUCAAUGUCGUGUCUUCAAUGUACAAUUGUAUUGAGAUAAAGUUUCUCUUGAUAUAGAAUAGUAGAAUAGUGAACUGUAGAACGUAGUUAGGUUUGUAUGGAUGUUGUAUAGAUUUACAUCUAAAACUGGGCAAAUCUUUUUUUUAAGAUAAAAAAAUCUAAAGUGCAGAUGAUUUAAAAAAGGUUAUCUGUUUCUUUGGCCUACUGUUAACGAGCAGGGGGUCUUGUAGCCAGCAUAACGACCCGUACCCAAUGGAUUUUUCAAAUUCAAAAUACCAGUCGUCAUUAAGAUUCAAACCCAGGACCCAAGGUUAAAAUU